AAACCUUCAUCCGCCGCGGGAACCUGCUGCGUCAGGAUAAGGUUAUAGAACGUUGUUAACCGAUUCUCCUAGAAUUACAGAUGCUCAAUCUGGUGCUGGCAAGCCAACUACCCAUUCACCAACCAUUAGUCGAGAUCCUUGGACUUUAUCUUUUAUUUUCUUUAGCAAAUUUUAAUGAUUCCCAUUUAAGCACUAUGCCAUCAAUUUUUUUACCUUCUUCUAUUCCAACAUGUUUACAGAAAGAAGCUCAUGCACGGGACAGAGUCUCUUCUCGAGCAGGUUUCCCCAAUUGGUUUAAUUGUGAUUUUAAAAAUAAAACUGUUGUAUUUUAUUAUAACAA